AAGUAAGUUAGGAGUGAAUAAACAGGCUUAACCUGUGCCCCGCUCUUAAUACUGCUUUUCUUGAGUAUGGGAGAGGAAGAUGGAAUUCCAGGUGUACCGGUGGAAUGCGUAGAUAUCUGGAAGAACACCAGUAGCGAAGGCGGUCUUCUGGCCCAAUACUGACGCUGAGGCUCGAAAGCUAGGGGAGCGAACAGGAUUAGAUACCCUGGUAGUCCUAGCCGUAAACGAUGGACACUAGUUGUCGGGGGAGUCAAUCCCUUCGGUGACGAAGCUAACGCAUUAAGUGUCCCGCCUGGGGAGUACGCUCGCAAGGGUGAAACUCAAAGGAAUUGACGGGGGCCCGCACAAGCGGUGGAGCAUGUGCUUUAAUUCGAUGCAACGCGAAGAACCUUACCUGGGUUUGACAUGGGGGUGAAAGUAACCAGAGAUGGAUACCUUUCCUUCGGGAACACCCUACACAGGUGCUGCAUGGUUGUCGUCAGCUCGUGUCGUGAGAUGUUGGGUUAAGUCCCGCAACGAGCGCAACCCCUACCCUUAGUUGCCAGCGGGUUAUGCCGGGAACUCUAGGGGGACUGCCUGGACUAACCAGGAGGAAGGUGGGGAUGACGUCAAAUCCUCAUGGCCCUUACGCCCAGGGCUAGACACGUGCUACAAUGGCCGGUACAAUAGGCUGCGAACUCGCGAGAGUAAGCUAAUCCGAUAAAACCGGCCUCAGUUCGGAUUGGAGUCUGCAACUCGACUCCAUGAAGGUGGAUCGCUAUAAUCGCGGAUCAGCAUGCC
rnacentral:rRNA from 1 species